rnacentral:lncRNA from 1 species
CCUGCCAUCUAAUUAGCCCACUUCCAGCUUCUCUGUGCCAGAAAGCUCCAAUCAGAGCACACCUGAAAGCUAUUUUUUCCACCACAAGCCUUUCCCCUCCCCUGACAGGCUGUGAAUCUCUGCCAAAAGCUUGUGAUGAUGGUGAUUCCCUUGCUCAGCAAGUUCUGAGAUCUCCUUUGGGUCUCUGAUCAGUUUGGAGUUUAUUCUUGUGCAUGGAGUGAGGAUGGGAAUCCUCAGCUACUUUCUGUUUUCAUUAUUUGUCAGAGAAAUGUGCCUUGAGACUUAAUCCUGUGGCCUCCCCCAGCUGUUCACCAUACAUCCCAGCCAAAGAGGAAACAGAAGUUCUGCUGUCGAAAGGGGAAGACAAGCUGACGGUGACUGUCUUCAGAUCGUAAAAACUCACAUAAAAUGAAUUUAAAGUUAACACAGCCCCAUGCAGCCAGGCUCACUGGGUCUACAGGAUUUGAGUCUUCAGCUGGUAGACAAGUUGGCCAGGGCAGGGGGAUGCCCUUAGUUCCUCGGAGUUCUCCUGUGGCAUGUGUGGGCAGGUUUGGGCUCUGUCUUUCUAAGUCACCCCAGCGUUACUGAGGUGGUGCUGGAUGCGCCACUGCAGGAUAUGCUGGUGCGGCCUCCUUCAGAAGGGCUCGUCCAGUGGCAGGAGUGCUGUUGACAGCCAGCCUCCAGCCAUCACUUCCUUCAGAGAUGGCCUCAGCUGCAGAGCAUUGCCUUGUUCAAGGGGAAGCCCUGUCCAUGCUGGCCCACUGAUAGUGGUGGGGGUGGAAAGGCCCCGGCCUUUGGGACCAACAUGCUAUGGGACAAUUCUGACGGUCUUUUUAAUUCCAGAGUCCCAGUGGGGUUGGCUGAGGCUAUCCAAGAUCUUGACAUCUCCCUCUGCCCACUCCUGGUCCUGCCCUCCCUUCCACAGACGUUACUCCCAAGAGCACACCCAGGGAAGCAUUCUGCACGCGAAAGUCCAUCUCCCAGUCUGCCUCCUGGAGAACACAGCUGGCAACAUUAGUUAGUGAAAAAGCAGGCUGUGAACUUGUAAGAACCUGUCUCUGUAACAAAUGGAUACGUAUACUUCCAAAUGCACAGAAAUUUGUGGAACUCUACUUAGGAUACUGUUAACAAUAACUACCUCCAGGGACUAGAACUGGGACCUUUUGAGAGGGGGGAGAAAUUACUUUAUACUCUUUACCAUAAGUAUGAAUUGCUUUUUUUUAUAAUUAAAAAAAGUCUCUAAUUUUAAAGACAUUGGAUUGCA